UCCGAGUGCGACCGGCGGUGCAAGUCCCCAUGAGAGGGGCAUGUUUCCCAGAGCGGGUGCUAGGCCCGUAACACCGCUGGUCCGCGCGCGGAGUUGCCGUUCUCCCGGGAGUCGGGUUGCUUGGGAGUGCAGCCNUAAGUGGGUGGUAAACUCCACCUAAAGCUAAAUAAGACCGAGAGACCGAUAGCGAACAAGUACCGUGAGGGAAAGUUGAAAAGCACUUUGAAGAGAGAGUUCAAGAGUACGUGAAACCGUUCAGAGGUAAACGGGUGGGACCUCGAAGUCCGAAGGCGGUGGUGGAUUCAGUCAGGACGCUAGACCGGCGCUGCCUGUACCCGUGGUCACCCCACGACGGGGCCCCGGCGUGCGGGAAUAGAGCCGCGUCCUGGCGCACUUCCACGCCCCGCCCUGUAGGGCGUCGCGACCGGUUGGAAGGCCGUCGUAAGGGAGGAUGUGAAAGGUGGCUGCAUUUCUUUCGGGAUCUGCAGUGUUAUAGGCCAUCCUACCCCUGACGGGUCGUCCGACCGGGGUUGAGCUUAGCCUCUGUUACGUUCCCUUCCAUGACGGAAGCGGCCCUUCUUUCGUGCUGCUCGCAGGACGGCGUGCCACCUUUUAGGUGAGCGCCUCUCGUGAGAAGUUUCGAGGGGAGCGGUCAGCGCGGGAACCGGAGGUCGCGGCGAGUAGGUCGGUUGCCCACCCGACCCGUCUUGAAACACGGACCAAGGAGUCUAACGCGUAUGCGAGUUCCCGGGACUUGAAUAGGCCCGAGGGCGCAAUGAAAGUAAAGGGCGACGUUGGUCGUCCGAGUUGGGAUCCAAGCAUUUAUGUUUGGCGCACCAACGGCCCGUCCGACACCGGUUUCGGUGGGGCGGAGCUAGAGCAUACGCUCUGGGACCCGAAAGAUGGUGAACUAUGCCUGGGCAGGACGAAGCCAGAGGAAACUCUGGUGGAGGUCCGUAGCGAUUCUGACGUGCAAAUCGAUCGUCAGACCUUG
rnacentral:rRNA from 1 species